GCCAGUGUGGUGCAGUGGUUAGAAUGUCGGACUAGGAAUCUGGGAGAUCAGGGUUCAAAUCCCCACUCAGUCA